GAUGAACGCUGGCGGCGUGCCUAAUACAUGCAAGUCGAGCGAACGGACGAGAAGCUUGCUUCUCUGAUGUUAGCGGCGGACGGGUGAGUAACACGUGGAUAACCUACCUAUAAGACUGGGAUAACUUCGGGAAACCGGAGCUAAUACCGGAUGAUAUUUUGAACCGCAUGGUUCAGAAGUGAAAGACGGUCUUGCUGUCACUUAUAGAUGGAUCCGCGCUGCAUUAGCUAGUUGGUAAGGUAACGGCUUACCAAGGCAACGAUGCAUAGCCGACCUGAGAGGGUGAUCGGCCACACUGGAACUGAGACACGGUCCAGACUCCUACGGGAGGCAGCAGUAGGGAAUCUUCCGCAAUGGGCGAAAGCCUGACGGAGCAACGCCGCGUGAGUGAUGAAGGUCUUCGGAUCGUAAAACUCUGUUAUUAGGGAAGAACAUAUGUGUAAGUAACUGUGCACAUCUUGACGGUACCUAAUCAGAAAGCCACGGCUAACUACGUGCCAGCAGCCGCGGUAAUACGUAGGUGGCAAGCGUUAUCCGGAAUUAUUGGGCGUAAAGCGCGCGUAGGCGGUUUUUUAAGUCUGAUGUGAAAGCCCACGGCUCAACCCGUGGAGGGUCAUUGGAAACUGGAAAACUUGAGUGCAGAAGAGGAAAGUGGAAUUCCAUGUGUAGCGGUGAAAUGCGCAGAGAUAUGGAGGAACACCAGUGGCGAAGGCGACUUUCUGGUCUGUAACUGACGCUGAUGUGCGAAAGCGUGGGGAUCAAACAGGAUUAGAUACCCUGGUAGUCCACGCCGUAAACGAUGAGUGCUAAGUGUUAGGGGGUUUCCGCCCCUUAGUGCUGCAGCUAACGCAUUAAGCACUCCGCCUGGGGAGUACGACCGCAAGGUUGAAACUCAAAGGAAUUGACGGGGACCCGCACAAGCGGUGGAGCAUGUGGUUUAAUUCGAAGCAACGCGAAGAACCUUACCAAAUCUUGACAUCCUUUGACAACUCUAGAGAUAGAGCCUUCCCCUUCGGGGGACAAAGUGACAGGUGGUGCAUGGUUGUCGUCAGCUCGUGUCGUGAGAUGUUGGGUUAAGUCCCGCAACGAGCGCAACCCUUAAGCUUAGUUGCCAUCAUUAAGUUGGGCACUCUAAGUUGACUGCCGGUGACAAACCGGAGGAAGGUGGGGAUGACGUCAAAUCAUCAUGCCCCUUAUGAUUUGGGCUACACACGUGCUACAAUGGACAAUACAAAGGGCAGCGAAACCGCGAGGUCAAGCAAAUCCCAUAAAGUUGUUCUCAGUUCGGAUUGUAGUCUGCAACUCGACUACAUGAAGCUGGAAUCGCUAGUAAUCGUAGAUCAGCAUGCUACGGUGAAUACGUUCCCGGGUCU
rnacentral:rRNA from 1 species